rnacentral:rRNA from 1 species
CUUAGUGGCGGACGGGUGAGUAACGCGUGGGCAACCUGCCCCGUGCCGGGGGAUACCGCCUGGAAACAGGCGCUAAUACCGCAUAAGCGCAUACAGCCGCAUGGCAGUAUGCGGAAAGCUCCGGCGGCACGGGAUGGGCCCGCGCCCGAUUAGCCAGUUGGCGGGGUAACGGCCCACCAAAGCGACGAUCGGUAGCCGGCCUGAGAGGGCGGACGGCCACAUUGGGACUGAGACACGGCCCAAACUCUUACGGGAGGCAGCAG